rnacentral:rRNA from 1 species
AUGAAACCAUCAGAAGCCAUUCUUGUACCUGCUCCAGCUGCAACCCCAGAUCAGCCACAUAGACUUCCUGCUGCUAAUCCUGGGAUGAUCCCAAGCAACAGCAAGCAGGUGAGAUUAAGUGACGCUAUGAAACCAUCAGAAGCCAUUCUUGUACCUGCUCCAGCUGCAACCCCAGGUCAGCCACAUAGACUUCCUGCUGCUAAUCCUGGGAUGAUCCCAAGCAACAGCAAGCAGGUGAGACUAAGUGACGCUAUGAAACCAUCAGAAGCCAUUCUUGUACCUGCUCCAGCUGCAACCCCAGGUCAGCCACAUAGACUUCCUGCUGCUAAUCCUGGGAUGAUCCCAAGCAUGGCCCCAAACAUCAACUUACCUGCCCUAGGACAGCCACUAGCCAUGACACGGACCGCUCGGCGUGUUUACGUCGGUGGAAUUCCUCCAAUCGCCAAUGAACAGACGGUAGCCCAAUUCUUCAACCAAGUUAUGGCUGCUAUCAAAGGGAACACAUCUGGCCUAGGUAAUGCGGUUGUUAAUGUGCACCUAAACAAUGAGAAGAAAUUUGCUUUUGUUGAAAUGAGGUCUGUGGAGGAAGCAAGCAAUGCAAUGGCCUUGGAUGGUAUAAUGUUCGAGGGAGCAAGAGUUAAAGUUAGGAGGCCAACAGACUACAACCCUUCCCAGGCAGCUGCAUUGGGUCCGAGCCAGCCCAAUCCCAACCUCAAUCUUGCUGCUGUUCACUUGCCUAGACAGGUAACCCGGCGCAGGCCGUGA